GUAGAUGCUAUGGCCACAGUUCAGGGUAAUUUACAUUGUCCCUCCAGGUCAUGGAUAGGUGUUAAUAAUACCUGGGCAGAGAGCUGGAAAAACUAACACUUAACUUCUAUCUUAAUAAUCUGAGUAAAAGUAUCUUUAGUAUCAACAUGGAGAAAUUGCUUAUUGGACAGCAUAAGAAGCCCCCAUCUCUUUCCUGAACCCUUGACACGUCUUCAAUGGAGUCUUCCUUGCCGUCACCCUCAAGGAGCUCGAGAUGCUGUUCUUUCACACUGUGCUGCCUGCUUUCCUCGUCCAGUCCAGCCUCUUUUGCUUGCCCGUUGUCUCUUCACUGCAGGGUUAAAUUCCACGAAAGGCUAAAUGACGUUCCUGUGACUCCCAUAACACAUGACCACCCACGUGGCUGCACAAGAUGGCAGAGACCUAUUCUCUCACCGUUCUGGAGGACUUGGGUUCUUAGUUCCAUGUCCUGCUUCCAGAAGCUCGGGGAGAGAAUUCUUCCUUGUGUCUUCCAGGUUCUAGAAGCAACUGCCUUCCCCGUUGUUACCUGGCUCCUAGACUCACCCUUCCAACUCCGUCUUGACUUUCAUAUGACUUUUUUCCCCUGCAUCUGCAUUUUUGUUUCUUCUCUUAUACAGAGCUGGCAUCUGAGUGUGCUGGUUUAUACCUGUCGUCUCAGCAUUCAAAGGGCUGAGGCAGGAUUGCUGUGAGUUGGAAACCAGCCUAGAUGUCCUUGAAAUUUCAAAAGAACCUGAAGUACGACAGCCAGAAGGAUUCGGAAACAGAGACUGAAGUAGAAGAGCUAAUUAGGAAGAUAUCUGGGAAUGGUGUCUGGCAUUUAUCGUGUUAAAUGCAGUCCGAGUAGCAAGCCCAAACAAAACGCGGUAAAAUAAAAGCUGAAAGAGGAGAAUGGCAUCCAAUAAAAGUUAUAGGGAAUGUUAAUUACUAAUCAAAUAUUAAUUCUCCAACUGAGACUAGUGCACAGAUGAAGGGCAGAAGACUCUUCAGUGGAUUCCUAUGUCUUGCAGUGAGAGUGACUUCCUAUACCCAAGGAGAUGGACACUCCAGUAAUGUGCUGAUGAACAGCAGAGCUAGUGUUUGUUCUCCAGCCCUGCUUUUAUUCAAGGAACCCUGGAUUUUCUACUGCUGCAACCAAAACUGUGAUUUAAAUUUAAGAAAAGGGAUCAGCUUUCCCUUAACCAUGUCCUUCUGCCACGAUGGUCUACCUCAUCACAGUUGAGAAACAGUGGAGCCAGACAACCUUGGGUUAAAACCCCUUCCUGAUCGACUGUGGUCUGAGGAUAAGCCACAUAAACCUUCUCUUCCUCAAGUUGCUUCUGCUCAUGGUGUUUAUCACGGCAAUAGAAAGUAAACUAGAAUAGUAACCUUCUUAGAUCUUUGCAUCGUUACUUUUGAUUAUCUGUACAAAGACUGGGAAGUUACAGAGAUUUCACCAGUGGGCUUCUUGCUGUCUUCUUUUGUAUCCUUGUCAGAGUAGAAAAAAAUGUAUGUUGUAUGUUUGAUAUUAUUUCAUAGGUAAUUCAGGUUUUGUUUCUUUUAAAAUAUCUUUUCUAUUUUCUUUGAGUUUGUUUGAAUUGUAUUCAGUGUUUUCAAAUUCCCUAAUCUUCUUUUAUUCAUUUUUUUCUGAUUAAUGAUCUUCUUUUAAUGCAAAGCUAUCAAUUUAUUUUGAAUAUCCUACUUUUGGUCUAGUAUUUCUAUUUCUUCCUGAUUCUUUUUCUCUUAACUUCUUCUAUAAAUUGUAUCUGUGUUUCCUAGCAUUUCCCCAUCUGCUUCCCUAUUCUUUUAACCUUUUCCUGUGAAUUCUUUAAGCAAUUCAUUGAAUUGUUGCAGUUGUUUCAAAGUCUCUUUGUAUUAAUCCCAACAUCUGUACCAUCUGUUGGCCUGAUUCUAUUGACUGGUUAUUUUUAUUUAUAAAUGUAUUAUUAUCACACAUGCAUGAUACAUGUGGGGGAACACAAAUGUCAUGGUUUAUGUGUGAUGUGUGGUGGUCUGACAACAACUUCAUGGAGCUGGUCCUUACCUUCCACCAUUUUGUGUUCCUAGAAUUGAUCUCGGGUAAUCAAGCACCUUUACUCACUGAGCUAUCUCACUUGCUCACUGAAUAAUAACAAAUAAUGUGAGUCUUA